UAGUGAGGGGGGGAUGCUGAGGGUGGUGAGGGGGAUAAUAGUGCCCCCCAUCCCUCACUUACCUGAUCUGUAGGCUGCCUCUGUGCUGCUCCCUUGCGGUUUCAGUCAUGAGCGAGAGGCAGGGAUAAGCUGUAGCUUCCUGUCUUUUAACAUUCAUAUCGCCACCUACUGGCCGGCGCUGGUAUUGCAGUGUAUUCUCACACAAACCAAAAAUCGCAGCACAAGAUGAAAAAUUCAGGGGGGGGGGGGCAAGUGCCCCCUCUUGCGCCCCCCUGCGGACGCCCAUGCUGCAUCCAUUGCUAAGUGAACAAAAACUAAAAGUCCUCAUAAAACAUAGAAACAUAGAAUGUGACGGCAGAUAAGAACAAUUUGGCCCAUCUAGUCUGCCCAAUUUUCUAAAUACUUUCAUUAGUCCCUGGCCUUAUCUUAUAGUUAGGAUAGCCUUAUGCCUAUCCCACGCAUGCUUAACCGUGGUUGCGUGCCCGGGAAUCUUCAUUAAAGCUUUGCCGCUCAGAGUAUUAGCUGUAGGGCCUUCAUCCUUCCAAUCAUAUUUAGGUGCCCGUGUCCUGGUAUCCUCUUGGAUAGUAUGGCAGCAGUGCUUGCCUGGACACCCACCGAUCUCCAUGUCAACAGUGGGUACUGAGCUUUCCUCAGUGAUAUUCCCCCAGGCCUGUGGCCAAAAGGGGGUUCGGGCACAGAUAGAUCAGACCAACGAUGGGCACAGGUAUAGCAGGGCAGACAGAAGGGCACAGACAUAGUAGGCCAAUCAAAUGGGCGCAUAACUAGCAGGCCAAUCAAUGGGGCACAGACAUAGCAGGCCAAUCAAUGGGGCACAGACAUAGCAGGCCAAUCAUAAGGGCACAGACAGAGCAGGCCAAUCCUGGUUGCGUAUUAUAUGAGUAAUGGGGACCCCUGAGUUUGGGCAAAGUCCCCUAAAUAUGAAAGCUAACUUUGGCCAGUGUUUGUGACUAAGUGGCUACUAAAAAAGACUAAACAUACCCCACGUUCAAUACCUUGGGUUGUCUACUUUUUCAAAUGGUAUGCCAUUAUGGGGGUAAGUCUCAUUCUUCGGCUACCACACCGUCUCAAAGGUAACAUUACUAAUCUGGCAAAUUUCAAUUUAAAAACGGAAUGUUCUAUAUUUGACCCUGUAACUUUCCAAAACACCAUAAAACCUGUUAAUGGGGGGUACUGUUGUACUCGUGAGACAUCGCUGAUUACAAAUAUGGGCAUUUUUUUGCAGUAAUACCUAACAGUAUUAUCAGGGCCAUCUUUAGCGUGGGGCAAACGAGGCAGCUGCCCCGGGCCCAGUUGCUCCUGGGGGGGCCCCAGAGCAGCUGCCCCGUGGGCCCCGCGAUUUCAGCAGCCCCCAUGUACCCCAUGUACUAAGGGCCACCCUGUGGGCAUGUGGCAGAAGGGGCCCGGUCGGGCGCUGUGACGCUUAAACAGCGCGACCGGGCCCCUUCCUGUACCAGCUGGGAGGAAGUGAGUACUGCGUGUCACUUCCUCCCACCGGAGAUAGCCGCACGGGAGGAGGAAGGCAGGCAGGAGGGGAGUUCCAGAGAAGAACUCCCAUCUGCCUCAGCCUGCCACUGGACCCCAGGGAAACCACCCUCCAUAAAAAGGUAAGAACCUGGAGGGUGGCUAAAUGUAUGUGUGUGUGUUAGUAUGUCUGUGUGUGUUAGUAUGUCUGUGUUUGUGUGUUAGUAUGUCUGUGUGUGUGUGUUAGUAUGUCUGUGUAUGACUGUGUGUUAGUAUGUCUGUGUGUGUGUGUUAGUAUGCCUGUGUGUGUGUGUUAGUAUGCCUGUGUGUGUGUGUUAGUAUGCCUGUGUGUGUUAGUAUGUCUGUGUGUGUGUGUUAGUAUGCCUGUGUGUGUUAGUAUGUCUGUGUGGUGUGUUAGUAUGCCUGUGUGUGUUAGUAUGUCUGUGUGUGUGUUAGUAUGUGUGUGGGUUAGUAUGUCUGUGUGUGUGUUUUAGUAUGUGUGUGGGUUAGUAUGUCUGUGUCAGUAUGUCUGUUUGUGUAUGUAUGUCAGUAUGUCUGUGUGUGUCUAUGACAGACAUACUGACAUACACACACAGACACACUGACAUACACACACACACAGACACACAGACAUACUGACACACACACACAGACAUAAACACACACUGACAUACACACACACACAUACUGACAUACACACACACAGACAUAUACACACAAACAUACUGACAUACACACACAGACAUACUAACACACACAGACAUACUGACAUACACACAGACAUGCUGACAUACACAGACAGACAUUCUAACACACCACACAGACAUACUAACUAACUACUGUGUGUAUGUCUGUGUGUUUGUAUGUCAGUAUGUCUGUGUAUGUAUGUCAGUAUGUCUCACUGUGUUCCAGUGUGUGUGUGUGUAUGUCAGUAUGUCUGUGUAUGUCAAUACGCCUGUCUGUGUGUGUCUGUGUCAAAAUAUCUGUCAGUGUAUGUGUCUGUGAGUAUGUAUGUGUCUGUGUGUGUAUCAGUAUGUCUGAAUGUGUGUCAAUGUUUGCCAGUAUAUAUUUUUGUGUCAGUGUAUGUGUGUGUCAGUAUGUAUCUGCGAAUGUUUUAAUGUGUCUGUCUGUGUGUGUAUGUGUCAGUAUGUCUGUCAGUGUGAUUGCGGGUUGAGCUUAAUGGGGAGGGAGGGUGCAGUGACAGGGCCCAGGGGGCCCAAGAAAAGGCUUUGCCCGGGGUCCUAUUCAUAUUAUAGACGGCCCUGAGUAUUAUGACAUUUACAGCUGAAAUGUGAGGCAGAACUACAUUUUAUUCAUAAUAGAUUAUGUUUCAUAUAUAAAUAUUUGAUAUGAAAUGAAAGCCCUGUUUCUCCUGAACAAAAUGAUAUAUAAUAAGUGUGGGUGCAUUUAAUAUGAAAGAGGUGAAUUACGGUUGAACAGACAAAUAGCGCAAAUUACAGUUUUUGUUUACGUUUUGUUUUGAUCAGAACGUGUACUAUUGACUCCGUCCUGAAGGGGUUAAGACUAUGUCCUCUUGUUGUGGUAGUUUUUCUUCUUUUAAAUAUAGUCUCCUCCUUUAAGUGGUUGCUGACUGCCGAGGGUAGUUAUUUUUUUUAUUUUGAUUAAUACCAUGAAUCCAGGUGAAGAGGGAUCCCAUCUUCUAACAACACACCAAUAUUUUGGAUUUUUUUUGAGUACCUGACACACACUAUUUACUAACAACACAAUGCAUACCUGUGCAUAUCAAACACAAAGAAAUGAAGGCCCCCUUUAAAUAGUCAUGAUUAAGUGGAUCCCUUUACAUUAAGGACAUCACCCAAAUAUUCUCAGCUAUCCAUAAUUUCCUCUGAAAGGAGCAUGAAUCACUUGACCUUUUUCACAGAUAUAUAAAGCCGGAAAAACUUUGAAAAGUGUGUAACAAACUUUAAUAAACUUGGUCAGAUUGCAUUGUGGGCACACCAGCCAAGGAAGCUUCACACACCACUUACCCACACAACUCUGUUUUAGACUAGUCCUCUAAUGACAGAAAAAGGGCAUUAUUGUGCAGCAGCAGUAGUGAAAAACCUGACAUUGGAGCUUUCUCUUUAUGAUCACACUGAUCAGACAUCCUUUCUUCUCCCCCUGUCAGGAUGUUGCAAGGUAGGCGUGUGCAAUGCACUUUUCCAGUAUUCCUAGGGAAAGGACACCUGUGUGGUUGUGGAAAGCAUAAGAAAGAAGAAGCAGGUAAAAUAAAGAAAAAAACAUACUUUUUUUUUCUCUAAAGCAUGUAGAGGUGUAAAGUACAAAUGUAUAUAUACUACUUAAUAGGCAACAUAACAUGCUGUACAUCCCCAAACUAACUUUUACCAUUGCUAUGUACUAAAGCUAUUAUUCACAACAUUAGUAUAUUAAUAACUUCUGAGGAAGUAAUGUGAAAAUCACUGCAGUGAACUGAGCAGUGAGUAGAGGUUACUACUAAUAUAUAUUCCUACCUGUAGUGUGCCUUUAAAACUAAUUUCUAGUCCACUUAGUCAAGAUAAGGGAUACAAAAUGAACAAUGUUCUGAUUCAAACUAAUUUCUUAUAUCCAAGAAACAAAAUUAAUGGCUAUUAGCUUAUGAAAAAGAUAAAGUAGCACUGAUUGCUACAAAAACAAAAUCUCUGGCCACUCAAAUAUGGCCAGAACCUAAAGCUAUCCCAAUGCAGCUAUUAGAAAAAAAGAAAUUCCGAAUGUGAAAAAAUAUGCAGAGAAAAAAAUUAAUUCCCCCAGCUGAAAGGCAUUGAAACGUUUAAACCCACCCCAAUCAUCUUGAAUUGUAUCAGAGUGCAGGGAUUGGUAGGCUUGGAAAAGUGAAUUGCCUUAUAAUAUGUAUAUAUAUUUAUUGGGCAGACUAGAUGGGCUGAAUGGUUCUUAUGUGUCGUCACAUUCUAUGUUUCUAUAUUAAUUAAUAUACUAACCUUAUCAGACAUGUUUUCCUUAACAUAAAUUGUACUUAUUUUUUUUUUUUCCAUGUUCUCUCAGAUUUAAUUUGCAAAUUAUAACCUUGUGGAUCUACUCCUCAAUCAUCUUGUAUUGGUUCCUGGGUGUCUUGCAGAAUUCCCGCUUCUCUCUGCAUAUCUUGAGCAUAUCUCUUCUCGACCAAGAAUUCAGGCCUUCCUGUCUAGUGAUGCCCACAAGAAUGACCCCAUCAAUGGAAACAGCAAACAGUAAUUCAAUAAUUCCGGCAAGAUUAGAAUCAUGGUCUAAAUAUCCUGAGGCCUUUCUUAUAAAAUCAAUGUGUGUUUCACAGCUUGGGCACCAGAGCAAAUUUAAAAAAUAAAUUUGAAAAAAAAAAA